AACGCAUAUUGUGCCCUUUGGUAUUCUGAAGGGCAUGCCUGUUCGAGCGUCAUUAUCACCGUAUCAAGCUUGGCUUGUUGUUGGGCCCUGUGUCACCGGGUGACAGGUCCAAAAGACAAUGACCGGUGUCAUACCGACUCUAUAUGCAACGAGCUGACCACAGCAUGCAUUUAGUAGUGAUAUGGCCUGGUUCUCGUGCCUUUAUUUCUCCAGGUUGACCUCGGAUCAGGUAGGAAUACCCGCUGAACUUAA
rnacentral:misc_RNA from 1 species